rnacentral:rRNA from 1 species
GGUUCAUUCAAAUUUCUGCCCUAUCAACUUUCGAUUGUAAGAUAGAGGCUUACAAUGGUCUUAACGGGUAACGGGGAAUUAGGGUUCUAUUCCGGAGAGGGAGCCUGAGAAACGGCUACCACAUCCAAGGAAGGCAGCAGGCGCGCAAAUUACCCAAUCCCGACCGGGGAGGUAGUGACAAUAAAUAACGACAUAGGGCUCUUUCGGGUCUUAUAAUUGGAAUGAGUACAAUUUAAAUCUCUUAACGAGGAACAAUUGGAGGGCAAGUCUGGUGCCAGCAGCCGCGGUAAUUCCAGCUCCAAUAGCGUAUAUUAAAGUUGUGCAGUUAAAAAGCUCGUAGUAG